GAUGAAGAACGUAGCGAAAUGCGAUAAGUAAUGUGAAUUGCAGAAUUCAGUGAAUCAUCGAAUCUUUGAACGCACAUUGCGCCCGCCAGUAUUCUGGCGGGCAUGCCUGUUCGAGCGUCAUUUCAACCAUCAAGCCCCAGGCUUGUGUUGGGGACCUGCGGCUGCCGCAGGCCCGGAAAACCAGUGGCGGGCUCGCUGUCACACCGGGCGUAGUAGAUUUUAUCUCGCUCAGGGCGUGCUGCGGGUUCCGGCCGUUAAAAAGCCUUUUUUACCCAAGGUUGACCUCGGAUCAGGUAGGAAGACCCGCUGAACUUAAGCAUAUCAAUAAGCGGAGGA
rnacentral:misc_RNA from 1 species